AUUUGGAGGCAGUGGCAGUAUCGUAGCCAAUGAGGUUUAUCCGAGGUGCGAUUAUUGCUAAUUGGAGGCUGGGUCGGUUGAACUCCCAGAAUUACUUUAUUUUGAGCCUAGCAUUCUGUGAGCAGGUUCCAGGGAGGGAUCUGGCCUCCUUCUUGCUCUCUGUCAGUCAGAAUGCUGCCUGGGGGCAGGAAGACAUUCAUGAAGGUCAUUUUCGGGA
rnacentral:snRNA from 13 species